UGUUAGCCCCGAUAGCAGCGGCAUCCUUUUUGGUGGCUGAGGCUCUCGAAGUCACCAAAAAGAUACAGCGGAUAGCGGGAAUACGG
rnacentral:sRNA from 1 species